UACGUAGGGUGCAAGCGUUGUCCGGAAUUAUUGGGCGUAAAGAGCUCGUAGGCGGUUUGUCGCGUCGACUGUGAAAACCCGAGGCUUAACCUCGGGCCUGCAGUCGAUACGGGCAGACUAGAGUUCGGUAGGGGAGACUGGAAUUCCUGGUGUAGCGGUGAAAUGCGCAGAUAUCAGGAGGAACACCGGUGGCGAAGGCGGGCCUCUGGGCCGAUACUGACGCUGAGGAGCGAAAGCGUGGGGAGCAAACGGG
rnacentral:rRNA from 1 species